rnacentral:rRNA from 1 species
AUUGAACGCUGGCGGCAGGCCUAACACAUGCAAGUCGAGCGAGCGGCGGACGGGUGAGUAAUGUCUGGGAAAAUGCCUGUUGGAGGGGGGUAACUACUCGAAACGCUAGCUAAUAUCCCAUACCAUCUGAUGUGCCCCGAUGGGAGUAGCUAGUAGGUGGGGUAACGGCUCACCUAGGCGCCGAUCCCUAGCUGGUCUGAGAGGAUGAACAGCCACACUGGAACUGAGACACGGUCCAGACUCCUACGGGAGGCAGCAGUGGGGAAUAUUGCACAAUGGGCGCAAGCCUGAUGCAGCCAUGCCGCGUGUGUGAAGAAGGCCUUCGGGUUGUAAAGCACUUUCAGCGGGGAGGCGUUACCCGCAGAAGAAGCACCGGCUAACUCCGUGCCAGCAGCCGCGGUAAUUC